GAUGGUGGUUGGUCAAAGCAGGCAACAUGUAGGAAACGGGAGGUCAAGUAGGUGAUAGAGCUUGGCGGCAUGGCUGGAACGGACGGCGAGGCAGGUGACAGAGAAGGAGCACUGGAGACGGAGAAGAACACAAUGGGCCAGAUUUGGACCCACUACAUUUCGGUCUAAAUCUGCUUGAGCCUGCUGACGUCAGUGACAGAAAGUACUACAACCAGUUCAGGGUGUACCCCGCCUCCUGCCCGAUGACAGCUGGGAUAGGCUCCAGCACGCCCGCAACCCUAGUGAGGAGAAGCGGCUCAGAAAAUGGAUGGAUGGAUGGAUGUAAGUCACUGUACCUGGAGUCACUUUCUUUAAAAAACAAUGACCAAGUCCUUAACCUUGGUGAACUGAUAGAUUCCGACCUGACUUAUAACAGACAUAUCGAAUCAAUUACUAAAACUGCCUUCUACCAUCUCAAGAACAUAUCCAGAGUGAAGGCUUGCAUGUGUCAAGCAGACCAGGAGAAGCUCAUCCAUGCUUUUAUCUAAAGUAGACUUGACUAUUGUAAUGGUCUUCUGACUGGACUCCCCAAAAAGAGCAUUAAACAGCUGCAGCUCAUUCAGAAUGUUGCAGCUUGGGUUCUGACCAGAACAAAGAGGUCAAAGCAUAUUACUCCAAUUCUAAAGUCUUUACACUGGCACCCAGUCGGCUUCAGAAUAGGUUUUAUAGUUCUGCUACUGGUCUAUAAAUCACUAAAUGGUUAAGAUCCUGAAUACACGAGAGAAAUGCUAAUGAAUAUAAACCCAAUGGGGCUCUGAGAUUGACAGACUCAGGUCAAAUAGCGGAGCACAGAGUCCAAAGCAAACAUUGUGAGCCAGCAUUUAGCUAUUAUGCUGCACACAAAUUGUUGCCAAUAGAAGUGACGUCAGCCCCAAGUGUGAAUGUGUUAAAGUCCAGGUUAAAAACUCUUCUUUUUUCUCAUGCUUUUUAGAGCAUUUUCACUUUUAAAUAAUAUUUCUUGCACUCCACGCUGUUUUAAUUAUACUUUUAUUUUAUUUCCUCUUUGUUUUAAAUGAUUAUAAGCAUUUUUUUCCCUUUGUUUUUAAAUAUUUUCAAUCAUGUAAAACACAUUGAGUUACUUUGUGUAUGAAAUGCGCUACAUAAAUUUGCUUUGCUUUGUUUUGCUUUAUUGGA